rnacentral:rRNA from 1 species
GGGCCCGCACAAGCGGUGGAGUAUGUGGUUUAAUUCGAUGCAACGCGAAGAACCUUACCAGGGCUUGACAUCCUGCGAAUCUCUUGGAAACAGGAGAGUGCCUUCGGGAACGCAGUGACAGGUGGUGCAUGGCUGUCGUCAGCUCGUGUCGUGAGAUGUUGGGUUAAGUCCCGCAACGAGCGCAACCCACGUCUUUAGUUGCCAGCAUUUAGUUGGGAACUCUAAAGAGACUGCCGGUGAUAAGCCGGAGGAAGGUGGGGACGACGUCAAGUCCUCAUGGCCCUUACGGGAUGGGCUACACACGUGCUACAAUGGCAGUGACAAUGGGUUAACCCCAAAAAGCUGUCUCAGUUCGGAUUGGAGUCUGCAACUCGACUCCAUGAAGUCGGAAUCGCUAGUAAUCG